GCUUCUGGUGACCUGUAAGAGUUUCCCCCGCGGCCACCGCAUGUAAGAAUCUCACGUGGGUGGGGCAUUUAGUCUUAUAAAAUGCCCAUGGCACCUGCAAAUCAGGGCAGACUCCUGCCAGUGGUGGGCCAAAGGGAGCAGUCACCCUUGGAAUUCCUGGAAGUCGAAGGCAAUGAACUUCAAUAUUAUUUAGUCCCCUGGAGACUUGGCCAUUUGGGGGGAGACUCAGGGCAGGCAUGCUGUUCCCCAAAGUGUGGCCAGCCACAGUCCGGCCCGGUCCACAGCUAGGCUUGCCUUAGAGACGCCACCAAAGGCUGUGGGCAGGACCAGCGCAUUCCAGGGCUUGCCAGAUCACCGUCUCUGGGCCCUCUCCAGCUCCAGAUUUAUCCUGAACCCCAUGGAGCCCAGGUGAGUCCUCGAAUGUAGAUGCAACAGCUGGAGGUCCAAAAGCCAUUUUGAACCAUGAGGUAACCUGGAAAUGGAAGACACACAUGGGUUGAGCAACAAUAUAGAAGGAGCCUGGGACUCAAACUGUGCCAAAUGCCUACCAGCUCUGUCCUGCUUCCCAAUAGGUUUCUUAAACUUGAAAGAGAAAUAAACUUCUUUCUUAAGCCAU